rnacentral:rRNA from 1 species
CCUACGGGUGGCAGCAGUAGGGAAUAUUCGUCAAUGGGCGCAAGCCUGAACGAGCAAUGCCGCGUGAACGAGGAAGGUCUUCGGAUCGUAAAGUUCUGUUGAAGGGGAAAAAGAGCGGAGAGAGGAAAUGGUCUCCGAUUGAUAUUACCCUUCGAGGAAGUCACGGCUAACUACGUGCCAGCAGCCGCGGUAAUACGUAGGUGGCGAGCGUUAUCCGGAAUGAUUGGGCGUAAAGGGUGCGUAGGCGGCCUGCUAAGUCUGGAGUGAAAGGUACCGGCUCAACCGGGAUAGGCGCUGGAAACUGGCGGGCUAGAGAGCAGGAGAGGGCGGUGGAACUCCAUGUGUAGCGGUAAAAUGCGUAGAGAUAUGGAAGAACACCAGUGGCGAAAGCGGCCGCCUGGCCUGUUACUGACGCUGAGGCACGAAAGCGUGGGGAGCAAAUAGGAUUAGAUACCCGGGUAGUC